UCAAUCCUGCUUCUUCUCCCAUUUCUUCUUCCACGCCAGUUCUUUGACGCCAUUUUUUUCACAUUAGUGUGGACUACCACCCUUUCUUGUACUUUUGUACCCACUUCACACUACUCACACCACCACCACCACCACCGUCGCCGAUGAGGUCCCUCUCUGCCUCCGCCACCGUCGUCGAUGCUUUGGAGGCCCUGAAGACCUCUGACGACAACUUCAUUACCGUCUGGGACUGCAACCACUCCAAACUCAAUUUUGUUGUAUUACUGAUUAUAUAGAUAAUCAAGUGUUAAACAAGUACUAAAUGAUGGUUACAAGCACCUAGAUACCGUUUUGCUUUCAGUUUAAUUUCAAUCUCCAGACUCUCAUUUUUGCAGAUCAAUAUAUGUGGAGAAUAAGGAAUAAAACAAUAGCAUUUUGCAUACGUAUGCUAAAUGUUUUUUGUUGAGUUUUCUUGUAGAAAGAAAGUAAAAUUGAUGAAGCUAAUUUUCGCAUUUUCACAGGCAAAUUAAAAUCUGGAUAUGAUGUAAAUUGCUAUGAAGAAACUUACCAAUGCGAAAUCUGUACCUAGAACCCCACUUCAGAAAUUGUCAAUUGCUAGUCUUAAAUAAUUGUAGUCCACACUAACGUGAAAAAAAAUGGCAUGAAAGACUGGCAUGGAAGAAGAAACAGGAGAAGAAGCAGGAUUGAAAGGGAAAGGAAGGAGAAUACUCUUUGUAUGCCAUAAUCACCAUUUAAUUCUAGCUUUUUUUUAAUUAUUGGUUUAUUAAAUGUUUUUAAUUUAAAUUAAAUUCUGAUUAAUUUAAAUAAUGUGGCUGUCCACAUCUGAGGCCACAUAAGGUGGUAUAUAAAUGGAGUAAUGCUAUUCAUACCAUGUUUUUGUACCACAUUUUCAUACCACCUUAAGUGGCAUUUGAUGUGGACAACCGAGUAAUGCUAUUCAUACCAUGUUUUUGUACCACAUUUUCAUACAACCUUAGAUGGCAUUUGAUGUGGGCAGCCACAUCAUUUGAAUUAAUCAGAUUUUUAAAUUUAGUUCAUUAUUUAAUAAACUAAUAAUUAAGAAAAACUAGUUAAUUAAAUGAUGAUUGUGAUAUACGAGGAGUCUUUCUCCUUCAUUUCCAUGGGUUUUGUAAAAUUUUCAAAUGAUGUGCAUGUCCACAUCAGAUGCCACCUAAGGUGUGACAGCCCGUCCCGAAAUAUUUUAUCAAUUGUGUGAAAUGUCUAAUUUACCCUUGAGCGUUGUGUGAUGAUGUGUGGUUUAAGUUUUGGAUGUGGACCAAAUAUGUUAAGUUCUAAUUGUUUGGACCCAAUUAGGACUUAGAUUUUGUUUGUUUUUGGUUGGUGACCCAAGCUGGACCACACACACACACACACACACAAAUCGUUGACUCUCUUUCUCUCUCCUUCCCUCUCGGAUUUUCUUCCAUUUUUAUACAAUUGUACGGUCCACUCGUGAACCAACCCUUGCAGGCAUGGAUCAAGGUCGUGAAUGGUAUCUUUGGACUCCUUGCAAGCUCAAGGAAUCGAAUCUAUACCUUUGGUUAGACGUGAGGACUUGUCGAACGUGAGAUACCCGAGCUCCGGUGAGGGGUGGAGAUUCCUCCGACGUGAUCGCGAAGGUUUCAGGUAGUUUUGAGACUUAAGAAGGUAUUAUUCUUGCUUUUCUAGCUCGUUGGAUCAAUUUUGGAGUGGUUUUGACGUUAGAACUCUCGGGUUU
rnacentral:lncRNA from 1 species